CAAACAACCGUUCACCUCCACCCUUUCCACCUGACCCCACCCUGAGAGCUAUUAUCAAGUUUUAAGAUAUCAAGUUUUUAGCCAGGCCAGGUCAAAAGCAGCAGCACUGCUGUGGGAAGCCAGUCCCGUCCUUGGAAGGCUCAACGAACCAUAUAAGAGGGUGGCUGUCUCAAGCCCCAGAUGGCAACUGGACUCCCACAUUCAAGUACCUCAGUCCAUAAUAUCCUAGGAUUCUAAGUAGCAAACAUAUUGCCUAUGCUUAGGAAAAUGGCUAAGAUGCAGAUAGUAGAGGAAGAUGCCUGAUGACCAAGAAUGAAAUGACUCAAAGCCCAAGGGAGGUUCCACAUCCAGCAUGGAGCCCAACUCCAGGAGUGAAGUCAUGACACUGAGAUCAAGACCUGAGCUGAGAUCAAGUUGGAAGGAUGCUCAAUUGACUGAGCUACCCAGGCACCCCUUCAUUAGUUUUAGAACAUGGAAGCUCACAGCAAUGAUCGUUAUUCACACUAAUGGUGAAAGCCAAUGACAUGUGAUGACAUUCACGUAAUUAUGCUCCAACUAACUUACCUGUCCCUCUCUCGCUCUUUGCCUGAGGAACCUGCCGGCUUCGAUCCUGCACCUUCAAUCUCAUUCUGACUGGAGAAGCCUGUACCUAAAUUAGUCAUAUGAAUGGGUCCAUGCUAUGAGCAGAAAAAUACAGCGGCAUUAGCAAAUCUA